rnacentral:rRNA from 1 species
CCCUAUGGGGUGCAGCAGGCGCGGAACCUUUACAAUGCACGCAAGUGUGAUAAGGGGACCCUAAGUGCUCAUGAAUUUCAUGGGCUUUUGCCAAGAGUAAAUAUCUCGGAGAAUAAGUGGUGGGUAAGACUGGUGCCAGCCGCCGCGGUAACACCAGCGCCACGAGUGGCAUCCACGUUUAUUGGGCCUAAAGCGUCCGUAGCCGGUUUGGUAAAUCUCUUGUGAAAUCGUCAGGCUCAACCUGACGGCGCGCAUGAGACACUACCAGACUUGAGACCGGGAGGAGUCAAAGGUAUUUCAAGGGGAGCGGUAAAAUGUGAUAAUCCUUGGAAGAUCACCUAUGGCGAAGGCAUUUGACUAGAACGGAUCUGACGGUCAGGGACGAAGGCUAGGGGAGCGAUCCGGAUUAGAUACCCGAGUAGUCCUAGCAGUAAACGCUGCGAGCUAGAUGUUGCGCUUCUCACGAGGAUGUGCAGUAUCGAAACGAAGGUGAUAAGCUCGCCGCCUGGGAAGUACGGUCGCAAGACUGAAACUUUAAGGAAUUGGCGGGGGAGCACCACAAGGGGUGCGGCGUGCGGUUUAAUCUAACUCAACGCAGAGAACCUUACUAGAAGCGACAGCAGGAAGAUGUCAGUCUGAAGGGCUUACCUGACGAGCCGAGAGGUGGUGCAUGGC